rnacentral:misc_RNA from 1 species
UGAGGAACAUGUAUAGGAAAAUCGUCGGAAGUAUCAGCUCGGGGAAGCAUGCAAGCAUCACAAACAGAACAUGCACCAGAACGGUCGUGAUUGGGUUCUUCCACGCACACACAUCACCAAACCACUUCCCAACUGCGAAUAACCCUGAGAAAACAGACAUGAGACGGAAAAAGUUUGCUUUGCUACGCCGCAUGCUCCACAGGUGAGAG